ensembl:snoRNA
GUCCGCUGAUGAAACAAUGGCAAGUUUUAUGAUCCAGUCAGACUAAAGAUUGUGGUCUCUAGACUGCUGUAAGGUGGGUAAUCUUGGUAGUGUUGUGGAGUUUUGCUGCACUUCUGUAAGGGCUCACCAAGAGUUAAAAAGACACCUUCUGCAACCUAUGCCUCCCUCCCCAAGACAAAUGGGAUGGGUUUGGUAGCAGAUGUCAAACACUGUCUGAAUGUGUGUUUGUAUCUGUGUGAAUGUAUAUGUUUCAGCAGGCAAGACGCUAUCUGUGUAGUUUGUCUGGCAGGUAUGAAUUACUGUCUUUGGUAAUCUGAGGGCA